UCCGUUUCAUGAAUUUAAAGGUAAUGCACAACACUUCAAAGACACGUUAUGCUACGGCCGAUGCCAUUAGGUAUCCAAUCAGGGUCCUGCAGUGGGUAGUGUUAUGGGUUGAAUUGAACCCCACCAAAUCUGUUGAAGUCCUAAACCCUACUACCUCAGAAUGUGAACCAAUUUGGGCAAGAGGGUCAUGGCGGGUGUAAUUAGUUUAGAGGGGUCAUACUGGAGUAGCGUAGGUCCUUACAAAAAGGGGGAAAUUUGGACAUAGACACGCACACAGGGAGAAUGCCAUGUGAAGAUGGAGGCAGAGAUGCGGAUGAUGUGUUUACAAGCCAGAGUGCCAAAGAUUGCCAGCAAACCCCCAGAAGCUGGGGAAGGGGCCUGGAAUAUAUUCUUUCUCAUAGGCUCAUAAGGAACCAACGGAGUCAACACAUUGAUUUCAGACUUCUGGCCUCCGGAACUGUGAGACAAUCCAUUUCCAUUGUCGAAGCCACUCGGUUUGUAGUACUUUGUUGUGGGAGCUCCGAACAAACAAAUCCAAGUCCAACAUGAGGUCCCUGUAAGCCGCCAAGCACCUUCAAAGGAUCAGGCUCAGGAAGAAAGGAAAACAAGAACACAGGCUGCUCCCCACAAGACUGGAAACCCAAGGUGGACACAGAUCCUCAGCAUAACACGGACACUGUUUAUUUUUGGUGAAUCACUCCUGCGUCACCAGGAGUGCUAGAAAGCUGGGGUAAAUGUGAUAUGCCAAGAGAUGUCUCUUUGUUUUGACAAGGCCACACGUAACAGAUUUGAUGCGUACCUGUGUCUGCUCCAAAGAAACAUGAACCAGCGACAGCCCAGUGCAUCUGCCUGAGUGCUCACCUCCAGUGCAAAUACACAGCCAGCUUCCUGCAGACUGCCAGCGACCGGGAGCCUGAAAACCUAUAGGAAGGCCUGAGUUUCUCAGGGGUGGGAGGGAGGCAGCCGUCCAGCACCACUGUGACCCAGAUUGGGGCUAUCUCUAAGGAUAUCACCAAUCCCUAGGAGCCAUACCCGGGAAAGAUCUCACUGCUUUCUUCUCCCUGCCAAGGGUUCCGCCCAAGGCGGUUUUAUAGGAAGGUGUCUUUCUUCUGAGAAGGAGACUAUCCCCGGGUCCAGCAAAAGAUGAGUAAAUGAUUACUGGAUGCUGUAAAAGGAUCUUGUGAAGUAUUUCUGUUGUCCAACAAAAAGGAUCUGGUUUUUACA